rnacentral:rRNA from 1 species
AGUGAACGCUGGCGGUAGGCCUAGCACAUGCAAGUCGAACGGCAGCACAGUAAGAGCUUGCUCUUACGGGUGGCGAGUGGCGGACGGGUGAGGAAUACAUCGGAAUCUACUUUUUCGUGGGGGAUAACGUAGGGAAACUUACGCUAAUACCGCAUACGACCUACGGGUGAAAGCAGGGGAUCUUCGGACCUUGCGCGAUUGAAUGAGCCGAUGUCGGAUUAGCUAGUUGGCGGGGUAAAGGCCCACCAAGGCGACGAUCCGUAGCUGGUCUGAGAGGAUGAUCAGCCACACUGGAACUGAGACACGGUCCAGACUCCUACGGGAGGCAGCAGUGGGGAAUAUUGGACAAUGGGCGCAAGCCUGAUCCAGCCAUACCGCGUGGGUGAAGAAGGCCUUCGGGUUGUAAAGCCCUUUUGUUGGGAAAGAAAAGCAGCAGGUUAAUACCCCGCUGCUCUGACGGUACCCAAAGAAUAAGCACCGGCUAACUUCGUG